rnacentral:rRNA from 1 species
AGUGAACGCUGGCGGCAGGCCUAACACAUGCAAGUCGAGCGGCAGCGGGUCCUUCGGGAUGCCGGCGAGCGGCGGACGGGUGAGGAAUGCAUCGGAAUCUGCCCUGUCGUGGGGGAUAACCUAGGGAAACUUAGGCUAAUACCGCAUACGACCCACGGGUGAAAGCGGGGGAUCGCAAGACCUCGCGCGAUAGGAUGAGUCGAUGUCCGAUUAGCUAGUUGGCGGGGUAAAGGCCCACCAAGGCGACGAUCGGUAGCUGGUCUGAGAGGAUGAUCAGCCACACUGGGACUGAGACACGGCCCAGACUCCUACGGGAGGCAGCAGUGGGGAAUAUUGGACAAUGGGCGCAAGCCUGAUCCAGCCAUGCCGCGUGGGUGAAGAAGGCCUUCGGGUUGUAAAGCCCUUUUGUCCGGGAAGAAAUCGUCUGGGCUAAUACCCCGGGCGGAUGACGGUACCGGAAGAAUAAGCACCGGCUAACUUCGUG